rnacentral:rRNA from 1 species
GACGAACGCUGGCGGCGUGCUUAACACAUGCAAGUCGAACGGAAAGGCCCUGCUUUUGUGGGGUGCUCGAGUGGCGAACGGGUGAGUAACACGUGAGUAACCUGCCCUUGACUUUGGGAUAACUUCAGGAAACUGGGGCUAAUACCGGAUAGGAGCUCCUGCUGCAUGGUGGGGGUUGGAAAGUUUCGGCGGUUGGGGAUGGACUCGCGGCCUAUCAGCUUGUUGGUGGGGUAGUGGCUUACCAAGGCUUUGACGGGUAGCCGGCCUGAGAGGGUGACCGGCCACAUUGGGACUGAGAUACGGCCCAGACUCCUACGGGAGGCAGCAGUGGGGAAUAUUGCACAAUGGGCGGAAGCCUGAUGCAGCAACGCCGCGUGCGGGAUGACGGCCUUCGGGUUGUAAACCGCUUUCGCCUGUGACGAAGCGUGAGUGACGGUAAUGGGUAAAGAAGCACCAGCUAACUACGUG